rnacentral:rRNA from 1 species
UACGGAGGGAGCUAGCGUUGUUCGGAAUUACUGGGCGUAAAGCGCACGUAGGCGGCUAUUCAAGUCAGAGGUGAAAGCCCGGGGCUCAACCCCGGAACUGCCUUUGAAACUAGAUAGCUAGAAUCUUGGAGAGGUCAGUGGAAUUCCGAGUGUAGAGGUGAAAUUCGUAGAUAUUGGGAAGAACACCAGUGGCGAAGGCGGCUCACUGGCCCGUAACUGACGCUGAGGUGCGAAAGCGUGGGGAGCAAACAGGG